AACAAUCAUUAUAAUUUAUAACCAAACAUAAAAAUUAUGAUUAUUCAACAUUCAAAAUAGCUCCAUAAAGUAAGAUUUCCGACAUCGUAAUUAGCAUAAACGGCGACGUACAGACAAAACCCAACCAACUUAUAUAAAACUUAAAACACCACGAAACCAAAGCUCACACAAUCAAACGGCGGCGGCGCCUCCGGUUCCCGCCGCCCCCGCAACAACUGCUCCUCCGCCUCCCGCUCCGGCCCGCGCCAUAGAAACUGCUCCUCCGCCUCCUGCUCCUCCGGAAGCCGCAUUGCCACGAGGACCAGCAGAUUGAAGCCUCCUACGGUCGAAGUAACUGUAAAUUCGAAAUAAAGUGUCAAGGAUCAUGGAAGCCAGCGAGAUAUAUAGAAGAAUCAGUAGAAACCUCAUUGGCGACAUAAAUUUUGUAAUGAUAUGAACAAACGAGUCCACAGUGUUAAUAUUACUAUACAAUGGCGUUGGUGCUUUGGUUAAUAAUUAGCUCUGGUUUUUAUUUUUUGCAGGAAAUGGAGGUCGACACGGUGACGUGCUGCAACGGAGAAUUUGCUAAUCGUCGGGAAAUUAACUGACAGUGGGACCCGAAUGUGUUUUGCAGAUAAUGGAGGUGACUUGCUGCAGGAAAUUAUAGGCUUGGCAGUAUUAUUCGUGCCUACGUGUAUUUGAGCCUAUUCGAUUUGAUUGGAAUGAAAAAUAUUUGUAAUGAAUGGGUUAUAAGGCGGGUAUGGAAAAUAUUCAUUAA
rnacentral:lncRNA from 1 species